rnacentral:rRNA from 1 species
UACGGGGGGGGUAAGCGUUGUUCGGAAUUACUGGGCGUAAAGGGCUCGUAGGCGGCCAACUAAGUCAGACGUGAAAUCCCUCAGCUUAACUGGGGAACUGCGUCUGAUACUGGAUGGCUUGGAUUCGGGAGAGGAAUGCGGAAUUCCAGGUGUAGCGGUGAAAUGCGUAGAUAUCUGGAGGAACACCGGUGGCGAAAGCGGCGCGCUGGACCUCUUCUGACGCUGAGGCGCGAAAGCCAGGGGAGCAAACGGGG